UUGUCAUUUUCUCUUCCUAAAUCACCCACAGAACAACACACUCCAACCUGCCACAUUUUUCUCUCACGAAAAGGGAGUAUAAAGCUUCAAAUUACCUUU